GGAGCAAACAGGAUUAGAUACCUGGUAGUCACGCUGUAAACGAUGUCGAUUUGGAGGUUGCUCCCUUGAGGAGUGGCUUCCGGAGCUAACGCGUUAAAUCGACCGCUGGGGAGUACGGCCGCAAGGUUAAAACUCAAAUGAAUUGACGGGGGCCCGCACAAGCGGUGGAGCAUGUGGUUUAAUUCGAUGCAACGCGAAGAACCUUACCUACUCUUGACAUCCAGAGAAUUUAGCAGAGAUGCUUUAGUGCCUUCGGGAACUCUGAGACAGGUGCUGCAUGGCUGUCGUCAGCUCGUGUUGUGAAAUGUUGGGUUAAGUCCCGCAACGAGCGCAACCCUUAUCCUUUGUUGCCAGCACAUUAUGGUGGGAACUCAAAGGAGACUGCCGGUGAUAAACCGGAGGAAGGUGGGGAUGACGUCAAGUCAUCAUGGCCCUUACGAGUAGGGCUACACACGUGCUACAAUGGCGUAUACAAAGAGAAGCGACCUCGCGAGAGCAAGCGGAACUCAUAAAGUACGUCGUAGUCCGGAUUGGAGUCUGCAACUCGACUCCAUGAAGUCGGAAUCGCUAGUAAUCGUAGAUCAGAAUGCUACGGUGAAUACGUUCCCGGGCCUUGUACACACCGCCCGUCACACCAUGGGAGUGGGUUGCAGAAGAAAUAGGUAGCUUAACCUUCGGGAGGGCGCUUACCACUUUGUGAUUCAUGACUGGGGUGAAGUCGUAACAAGGUAACCA
rnacentral:rRNA from 1 species